GGAGGAAACAAAACUGCCGCUUGCGGCAUGUCCAAACGCCAAGUCAUCACAUUUUUUCAUUCUCGGACAAGUUCCAAUUUUCCUCUCCACUUUCCUCUUUCUUUCUUCAACUUCUCUCUUUGUCGCUUAUUUAUCCAGAGCUGAUAUAGCACCAAAGGAAACAGAGAGUAUUAACCCAUUACCUUCUAAUUAGCAUACUCAAUGGUGACCCUCAAAGCAGGGACCAGGCCACCAUGGGUAGGACUUGGAGCAGCAGUCUGGGUCCAAAUUGCAUCUGGGAAUGCCUACAAUUUCCCUCUCUAUUCUCAUUCAUUGAAAUCUGUGCUUGGUUUUAACCAGCACCAGCUUACCAUGCUUGGUGUUGCUAAUGAUAUUGGUGAGAAUGUUGGACUCCUUCCUGGUUUUGCCUGCAACAAGUUCCCUCCUUGGGCCAUUCUUUUGAUUGGUGCUUUUGCGUGUUUCUUUGGUUAUGGUGUUCUUUGGCUUGCUCUUAGCCGUACUGUUCAGUCUAUUCCUUACUGGCAGCUAUGGCUUGCACUUUGUGUUGCCACUAAUAGUAGUGCUUGGUUGAGCACUGCCGUACUUGUGAUCAACAUGAGAAACUUUCCACUUAGUCGAGGUACAGUUGCUGGUAUUCUUAAAGGUUAUGGAGGGAUCAGCGCUGCAGUGUUUACUGCAGUUUACAGUAUGCUGCUUCACAAUUCCUCCUCUAAGCUUCUGAUGUUCCUUGCACUUGGAAUUCCUGUUCUGUGUUUGUUAGUGAUGUAUUUUGUGAGGCCUUGCACUCCAGCUUCUGGUGAAGACUCUUCAGAACAUGCCCAUUUUCUUUUUGCCCAAGCAGCUCUUGUUAUUCUGGGCGUAUAUAUCCUAAUUACCACAAUAUUGGAUCACAUGUUUCAUUUGAGUGAUCCUUUAUCUUACAGUUCUCUAGUAGUAAUAGUUAUCCUUCUCAUGGCUCCACUUGCAAUACCCAUAAAGAUGACAUUUUAUCGCAAUAGGACCUGCAAAUUGGGGAUACUUAAUGGAUCAGUUGGGUCUUCAGACAGUCUAACACAGGAAGUUGGCAGUGCAGACAAAACUGAACCGUUGCUCAAUUCAACUUCAUCAGCAGUGACACUCGGCAGCUUUCAUGAAAGUGAUGAGACAUCUGAGGUGGCCAUGCUUCUAGCUGAGGGUGAGGGGGCAGUGAAGAAGAAAAGGAGGCCCAAAAGAGGGGAGGAUUUCAAAUUUAGUGAAGCUGUAAUCAAAGCUGAUUUCUGGCUUCUUUUUUUCGUUUACUUUGUUGGGGUUGGUUCUGGGGUAACUGUUCUGAAUAAUCUGGCCCAGAUAGGAAUUGCACAAGGUGUGCAUAAUACUACGAUCUUGUUGACUCUCUUCAGCUUUUGCAAUUUUGUUGGACGGCUUGGUGGUGGUACUGUUUCUGAACACUUUGUCAGGUCUAAAACAAUCCCUCGUACAAUAUGGAUGACAUGCACUCAAGUAAUAAUGAUCAUAACGUACCUGUUGUUUGCUUCUGCCAUUGAUGGUACCCUUUAUGCUGCAACUGCAUUGCUUGGGAUUUGCUAUGGGGUUCAGUUCUCUAUAAUGAUUCCCACAGUCUCUGAACUUUUUGGCUUGAAACAUUUCGGUAUAUUUUACAACUUCAUGUCACUAGGAAAUCCUCUUGGAGCAUUCCUUUUCUCAGGUCUCCUUGCAGGAUAUAUAUACGAUACUGAGGCAGCAAAACAGCAUGCUCUGGAUGCAUUGCUUAGCUCAAGCAUGUCUUGCAUUGGUCCGAAUUGCUUCAAGCUCACAUUCCUGGUUCUUGCUGGUGUCUGUGGUGUGGGUUCCAUCUUGAGCCUUAUUCUAACUAUGAGAAUAUGGCCUGUUUAUCAGAUGCUUUAUUCUGGUGGUUCCUUCAGGCUACCUCAAACUUCAACUCAUUAAGAUUAUUGAAGUGAUGCAUGGAAGUUUGAGGUCAUUUUAGGAGACCAUUCUAAUGAAGCGCAUGACAUUCUAACUGGAGCAACUCUUUUGGCUUGAAGAGAAUAGUUCUUUGUUAUUAUUAGUAAAUGUUGUUAACUGGAGAUCAGUUAAAGGGGUUCAUGGUAGAUUUUACCAAGACAACAUGCAAGGUGUACGUACCUAUAAUUCCUGUUGAAAAAUCGAAAAUGAUUCUCAUUUUCUUCCUCCUGUUAGUUGAAGUUGUUGACUAGUAGUAUAAUAUCAGUUGUGGGGUUUGGAGUUGGCCGUGUAAUGAAGCAUGCAUGUAUUAGGGGUGGGAAGGUGAUUCAGAAUAACAGUUGUUAGAGCAGUAGUUGGUGUAUUUUUCAGCAGAACAAACUUCCUUCAUAACAGUUGCUAUAGAUGAAAAUUCAACAUUCAUAACAGUUGUUACAAAUAUUUAUUCAGUAGCAGCUAGAAAAACAGAAACCAACGAACUGAUAUGAGGUUCUUUUAAUACUGGAUUUAGUUAGCAGUUGCAGUGAGUAUCAAUAACCAUGAAAGUGUAUCUGCCUGCUUGAACUGCUAUUUACUACAAAAAAAAUUUAAAUGCAUUUACAAUUUGUUGGUGCUUCA